rnacentral:rRNA from 1 species
AACGAACGCUGGCGGCAGGCCUAACACAUGCAAGUCGAACGCCCCGCAAGGGGAGUGGCGCACGGGUGAGUAACGCGUGGGAAUAUGCCCUUCGGUUCGGAAUAACACAGGGAAACUUGUGCUAAUACCGGAUACGAUCUACGGAUGAAAGAUUUAUCGCCGAGGGAGUAGCCCGCGUAGGAUUAGCUAGUUGGUGAGGUAAUGGCUCACCAAGGCGACGAUCCUUAGCUGGUCUGAGAGGAUGAUCAGCCACACUGGGACUGAGACACGGCCCAGACUCCUACGGGAGGCAGCAGUGGGGAAUAUUGGACAAUGGGCGAAAGCCUGAUCCAGCCAUGCCGCGUGAGUGAUGAAGGCCUUAGGGUUGUAAAGCUCUUUCGCCAGGGAAGAUAAUGACGGUACCUGGAAAAGAAGCCUCGGCUAACUCCGUGCCAGCCGCCGCUGUAAAAC